GGGUCCAGACUAGCCAUGCACGUCUAAGUACAAACUAAAUGAUGGUGAAACUGCAAAUGGGCUCAUUACAACGGUUAUGAUGUACCCGGGAGUUCCGAUGGAUAUUUCCAGUAACACUAGAACUAAUACAUGUCCCUGCGUUUAUUAGUUUCGCACAGUCCGUCGCUGAGUCAUGGUAAACAGUUGAUCGACUCGACGUCCCGGAACAGUUUCCGCCCCAUCAGCUUCGAUGGUUGGGUAUUGGCCUACCAUUGCAACAACGGGUAACGAGGAAUUAGGGUUUGAUUUCGGAGAGGGAGCCUGAGAAACGGCUACCACAUCUACGGAUGGCAGCAGGCGCGCAAAUUACCCAAUGCAGACACUGUGAGGUAGUGACGAGAAAUAAUAAAGCGGGACUUCUGUUUCGCUAUUAUAAUGAGGAAUAACUAAAGGUCAUUCCGAUUAGCAACUGAUGGGAAAGUCUGGUGCCAGCAGCCGCGGUAAUACCAGCGUCAGUAGCA
rnacentral:rRNA from 1 species